rnacentral:tRNA from 1 species
UCCCGGGUAGCUCAGUGGUAGAGUGAACGGUUGUUUACCGUCAGGUCGGUGGUUCGAAUCCAUCCCUGGGAGCCA